rnacentral:lncRNA from 1 species
CUGGGCUCAAACAAUCCUCCCACCUUAGCCUCUUGAGUAGCUGGAACUACAGGUGGCACCACCACACUUGGGCUAAUUUUUUUUUUUCUUAUUUUGUAGAGACGAGGUCUUGCCAUGUUGUGCAGGGUGAUCUUGAACUGGCUUCAAGCAAUCCUCCUACCUCAAGCUCCUAAAGAGCUCAGAUUACAGGCGUGAGCCACCGCGUGGUCCUGAAUCUGCGAUUUAAACAAGAUCCCCAGUUGACAUUAAAGUUUGCAAGGUACUCUCAUUAAGACUCACAGGGCCUUCACUAUUGGGGAUCUGCCUGAGCCUGUCCUGGUGAGCCAAGAGUCAAAAUUCAAAACCAGUUUGUUUUACCUCUCUUCAGUUCCUGCUGAUAGGAUUGUAGCAAGUUUGGAUAGCACAUUAAGAUGCUGUUGGCAGAAGAUGCCACUUCGAAACAGAAAGUACGUUCAAUCAGAUCAUAUAUUCAUCCUCUGCAUAGCAUCUACUCUAAAAGAAGAUGUACCAUUUUGAGUAAGAGGAGGUAAUACAGAAAAACAUUCGUGAAGCAUUAUCAGGU